rnacentral:rRNA from 1 species
GACGAACGCUGGCGGCGUGCCUAAUACAUGCAAGUAGAACGCAGUUGCGAACGGGUGAGUAACGCGUGGGUAACUACCUCUUAGAGGGGGAUAACUAUUGUGAACGAUAGCUAAUACCGCGUACUAGUAGAUGGACCUGCGUUGUAUUAGCUAGUAGGUAGGGUAAUGGCCUACCUAGGCAACGAUACAUAGCCGAACCGGGAAGGGGAUCGGGCACACUGGGACUGGGGCACGGCCCAGACUCCUUCGGGAGGCCGCAAUAGGGAAUCUUCGGGAAUGGGGGGAAACCUGGACGGGCCAAGCCGCGGUAGUGAAGAAGGUUUUCGGAUCGUAAAGCUCCUUUGUUAAGGGAGCGGUACUUAACCAGAAAGCGACGGCUAACUACGUGCCAGCAGCCGCGGUAAUUC